rnacentral:rRNA from 1 species
GGACUACUAAUGACGGUACCUGAAGAAGAACCACCGGCUAACUACGUGCCAGCAGCCGCGGUAAUACGUAGGGUGCGAGCGUUAAUCGGAAUUACUGGGCGUAAAGCGUGCGCAGGCGGUUAUUUAAGACAGAUGUGAAAUCCCCGGGCUCAACCUGGGAAGUGCGUUUGAGACUGUAUAACUUGAGUGUGGCAGAGGGGGGUGGAAUUCCACGUGUAGCAGUGAAAUGCGUAAAGAUGUGGAGGAACACCGGUGGCGAAGGCAACCCCCUGGGUCAACACUGACACUCAUGCUCGAAUGCGUGGGGAGCAAACAGGAUUAGAUACCCUGGUAGUCCACGCCCUAAACGAUGCGAACUAGG